rnacentral:lncRNA from 1 species
AGCGGGUGGGCUAUAGCCUUGGUGGGGGGCGUGGGCGAAGUUCGUCCGCGGGACUCGGAAUGGCACCAGACUUGGCGGGCGGCCUCCGUGUGCCAAAAAUAGGCCACGGGCACCGCCGCGCCCAAAAAACAACCCCCGAAGUUCGGGGUCCCAAGACCCCCCAGCAGAAAAAUGGCCAAAAAACGGUGGGCUAUAGCCUUGGUGGGGUGCGUGGGCGAAGUUCGUCCGCGGGACUCGGAAUGGCACCAGACUUGGCGGGCGGCCUCCGUGUGCCAAAAAUAGGCCACGGGCACAGCCGCGCCCAAAAAGCAGCCCCCGAAGUUCGGGGUCCCAAGACCCCCCAGCGGAAAAAUGGCCAAAAAACGGGUGGGCUAUAGCCUUGGUGGGGGGCGUGGGCGAAGUUCGUCCGCGGGACUCGGAAUGGCACCAGACUUGGCGGGCGGCCUCCGUGUGCCAAAAAUAGGCCACGGGCACAGCCGCGCCCAAAAAACAACCCCCGAAGUUCGGGGUCCCAAGACCCCCCAGCGAAAAAAUGGCCAAAAAACGGUGGGCUAUAGCCUUGGUGGGGUGCGUGGGCGAAGUUCGUCCGCGGGACUCGGAAUGGCACCAGACUUGGCGGGCGGCCUCCGUGUGCCAAAAAUAGGCCACGGGCACAGCCGCGCCCAAAAAACAGCCCCCGAAGUUCGGGGUCCCAAGACCCCCCAGCGGAAAAAUGGCCAAAAAACGGUGGGCUAUAGCCUUGGUGGGGGGCGUGGGCGAAGUUCGUCCGCGGGACUCGGAAUGGCACCAGACUUGGCGGGCGGCCUCCGUGUGCCAAAAAUAGGCCACGGGCACAGCCGCGCCCACAAACAACCCCCGAAGUUCGGGGUCCCAAGACCCCCCAGCGAAAAAUGGCCAAAAAACGGUGGGCUAUAGCCUUGGUGGGGUGCAUGGGCGAAGUUCGUCCGCGGGACUCGGAAUGGCACCAGACUUGGCGGGCGGCCUCCGUGUGCCAAAAAUAGGCCACGGGCACAGCCGCGCCCAAAAAACAGCCCCCGAAGUUCGGGGUCCCAAGACCCCCCAGCGGAAAAAUGGCCAAAAAACGGUGGGCUAUAGCCUUGGUGGGGGGCGUGGGCGAAGUUCGUCCGCGGGACUCGGAAUGGUACCAGACUUGGCGGGCGGCCUCCGUGUGCCAAAAAUAGGCCACGGGCACAGCCGCGCCCAAAAAACAGCCCCCGAAGUUCGGGGUCCCAAGACCCCCCAGCGGAAAAAUGGCCAAAAAACGGGUGGGCUAUAGCCUUGGUGGGUGGCGCCCAAAAGUUCGUCCGCGGGACUCGGAAUGGCACCAGACUUGGCGGGCGGCCUCCGUGUGCCAAAAAUAGGCCACGGGCACAGCCGCGCCCAAAAAACAGCCCCGAAGUUCGGGGUCCCAAGACCCCCCAGCGGAAAAAUGGCCAAAAAACGGGUGGGCUAUAGCCUUGGUGGGUGGCGCGCAAAAGUUCGUCCGCGGGACUCGGAAUGGCACCAGACUUGGCGGGCGGCCUCCGUGUGCCAAAAAUAGGCCACAGGCACAGCCGCGCCCAAAAAACAACCCCCGAAGUUCGGGGUCCCAAGACCCCCCAGCGGAAAAAUGGACAAAAAACGGUGGGCUAUAGCCUUGGUGGGGUGCGUGGGCGAAGUUCGUCCGCGGGACUCGGAAUGGCACCAGACUUGGCGGGCGGCCUCCGUGUGCCAAAAAUAGGCCACGGGCACAGCCGCGCCCAAAAAACAGCCCCCGAAGUUCGGGGUCCCAAGACCCCCCAGCGGAAAAAUGGCCAAAAAACGGGUGGGCUAUAGCCUUGGUGGGGGGCGUGGGCGAAGUUCGUCCGCGGGACUCGGAAUGGCACCAGACUUGGCGGGCGGCCUCCGUGUGCCAAAAAUAGGCCACGGGCACAGCCGCGCCCAAAAAACAGCCCCCGAAGUUCGGAGUCCCUAGACCCCCCAGCGGAAAAAUGGCCAAAAAACGGGUGGGCUAUAGCCUUGGUGGGUGGCGCCCAAAAGUUCGUCCGCGGGACUCGGAAUGGCACCAGACUUGGCGGGCGGCCUCCGUGUGCCAAAAAUAGGCCACGGGCACAGCCGCGCCCAAAAAACAGCCCCCGAAGUUCGGGGUCCCAAGACCCCCCAGCGGAAAAAUGGCCAAAAAACGGGUGGGCUAUAGCCUUGGUGGGGGGCGUGGGCGAAGUUCGUCCGCGGGACUCGGAAUGGCACCAGACUUGGCGGGCGGCCUCCGUGUGCCAAAAAUAGGCCACGGGCACAGCCGCGUCCAAAAAACAACCCCCGAAGUUCGGGGUCCCAAGACCCCCCAGCGGAAAAAUGGCCAAAAAACGGUGGGCUAUAGCCUUGGUGGGGGGCGUGGGCGAAGUUCGUCCGCGGGACUCGGAAUGGCACCAGACUUGGCGGGCGGCCUCCGUGUGCCAAAAAUAGGCCACGGGCACAGCCGCGCCCAAAAAACAACCCCCGAAGUUCGGGGUCCCAAGACCCCCCAGCGGAAAAAUGGCCAAAAAACGGUGGGCUAUAGCCUUGGUGGGGUGCGUGGGCGAAGUUCGUCCGCGGGACUCGGAAUGGCACCAGACUUGGCGGGCGGCCUCCGUGUGCCAAAAAUAGGCCACGGGCACAGCCGCGCCCAAAAAACAGCCCCCGAAGUUCGGGGUCCCAAGACCCCCCAGCGGAAAAAUGGCCAAAAAACGGGUGGGCUAUAGCCUUGGUGGGGGGCGUGGGCGAAGUUCGUCCGCGGGACUCGGAAUGGCACCAGACUUGGCGGGCGGCCUCCGUGUGCCAAAAAUAGGCCACGGGCACAGCCGCGCCCAAAAAACAGCCCCCGAAGUUCGGGGUCCCAAGACCCCCCAGCGGAAAAAUGGCCAAAAAACGGUGGGCUAUAGCCUUGGUGGGGGGCGUGGGCGAAGUUCGUCCGCGGGACUCGGAAUGGCACCAGACUUGGCGGGCGGCCUCCGUGUGCCAAAAAUAGGCCACGGGCACAGCCGCGCCCAAAAAACAGCCCCCGAAGUUCGGGGUCCCAAGACCCCCCAGCGGAAAAAUGGCCAAAAAACGGUGGGCUAUAGCCUUGGUGGGGGGCGUGGGCGAAGUUCGUCCGCGGGACUCGGAAUGGCACCAGACUUGGCGGGCGGCCUCCGUGUGACAAAAAUAGGCCACGGGCACAGCCGCACCCAAAAAACAGCCCCCGAAGUUCGAGGUCCCAAGACCCCCCAGCGGAAAACUGGCCAAAAAACGGGUGGGCUAUAGCCUUGGUGGGUGGCGCCCAAAAGUUCAUCCGCGGGACUCGGAAUGGCACCAGACUUGGCGGACGGCCUCCGUGUGCCAAAAAUAGGCCACGGGCACAGCCGCGCCCAAAAAACAGCCCCCGAAGUUCGGGGUCCCAAGACCCCCCAGCGGAAAAAUGGCCAAAAAACGGUGGGCUAUAGCCUUGGUGGGGUGCGUGGGAGAAGUUCGUCCGCGGGACUCGGAAUGGCACCAGACUUGGUGGGUGGCCUCCGUGUGCCAAAAAUAGGCCACGGGCACAGCCGCGCCCAAAAAACAGCCCCCGAAGUUCGGGGUCCCAAGACCCCCCAGCGGAAAAAUGGCCAAAAAACGGGUGGGCUAUAGCCUUGGUGGGUGGCGCCCAAAAGUUCGUCCGCGGGACUCGGAAUGGCACCAGACUUGGCGGGCGGCCUCCGUGUGCCAAAAAUAGGCCACGGGCACAGCCGCGCCCAAAAAACAGCCCCCGAAGUUCGGUGUCCCAAGACCCCCCAGCGGAAAAAUGGCCAAAAAACGGUGGGCUAUAGCCUUGGUGGGGGGCGUGGGCGAAGUUCGUCCGCGGGACUCGGAAUGGCACCAGACUUGGCGGGCGGCCUCCGUGUGCCAAAAAUAGGCCACGGGCACAGCCGCGCCCAAAAAACAGCCCCCGAAGUUCGGGGUCCCAAGACCCCCCAGCGGAAAAAUGCCCAAAAAACGGUGGGCUAUACCUUGGUGGGGGGCGUGGGCGAAGUUCGUCCGCGGGACUCGGAAUGGCACCAGACU